UACGUAGGUGGCAAGCGUUGUCCGGAAUUAUUGGGCGUAAAGCGCGCGCAGGUGGUUUCUUAAGUCUGAUGUGAAAGCCCACGGCUCAACCGUGGAGGGUCAUUGGAAACUGGGGAACUUGAGUGCAGGAGAGAAGAGUGGAAUUCCACGUGUAGCGGUGAAAUGCGUAGAGAUGUGGAGGAACACCGAUGGCGAAGGCAGCCCCCUGG
rnacentral:rRNA from 1 species